GGAGACGUAGCUCAAUCGGUAGAGCGCCGCGGUGUGCAGACCGCGGAGGUUGGUGGUUCGAGUCCAUCCGUCUUCA
rnacentral:tRNA from 1 species